UUCCAUCAAAACAACCAGUACACUAGACUCCAAAAUGACUGCUUCUGUUGCCAACGGGUGAUCAUUCUUUUCCAUUUUCAUAGUGAGAAACUGUAUGAAUACAUUUUUAAAAGGUCUCCUACUUCAGAGCCAGCAGGGGCACCUGAGGGUGAAGCUUCGCUCUCUCUCUCACGUGUGAUGGACUCUGUUGCUGGGGUAUGAGCAGGAGCCUGGUCUGGCCUUGCUGAAGCUGAUGACUGGCUUGCUG
rnacentral:lncRNA from 1 species